rnacentral:rRNA from 1 species
AAUGGUGGCUAUAGCGAAGGGGCACCACCUCUAACCAUUCCGAACAGAGUAGUUAAGCCCUUCAGCGCCAAUGGUACUGCCGCAUGGUGGGAGAGUAGGUCGCUGCCAACU